rnacentral:rRNA from 1 species
UACGUAGGGGGCUAGCGUUGUCCGGAAUCAUUGGGCGUAAAGAGCGUGUAGGCGGUUCGGUAGGUCCGUUGUGAAAACUCGAGCUCAACCUCGAGACGCCGAUGGAAACCCCCGAACUAGAGUCCGGAAGAGGAGAGUGGAAUUCCUGGUGUAGCGGUGAAAUGCGCAGAUAUCAGGAAGAACACCCGUGGCUAAGGCGGCUCUCUAGUACGGUACUGACGCUGAGACGCGAAAGCGUGGGGAGCGAACAGG